rnacentral:rRNA from 1 species
UGGGGAAUAUUGCACAAUGGGCGAAAGCCUGAUGCAGCAACGCCGCGUGAGUGAUGAAGGCCUUCGGGUUGUAAAGCUCUGUCUUUUGGGACGAUAAUGACGGUACCAAAGGAGGAAGCCACGGCUAACUACGUGCCAGCAGCCGCGGUAAUACGUAGGUGGCAAGCGUUGUCCGGAUUUACUGGGCGUAAAGGAUGCGUAGGCGGAUUUUUAAGUGAGAUGUGAAAACCCUAAGCUUAACUUGGGGACUGCAUUUCAUACUGGAAAUCUAGAGUGCGGGAGAGGAGAAUGGAAUUCCUAGUGUAGCGGUGAAAUGCGUAGAGAUUAGGAAGAACACCAGUGGCGAAGGCGAUUCUCUGGACCGUAACUGACGCUGAGGCAUGAAAGCGUGGGUAGCAAACAGGAUUAGAUACCCUGGUAGUCCACGCCGUAAACGAUGAGUACUAGGUGUAGGAGGUAUCGACCCCUUCUGUGCCGCAGUUAACACAAUAAGUACUCCGCCUGGGAAGUACGAUCGCAAGAUUAAAAACUCAAAUGAAUUGACGGGGGUCAUAGCUG